GUGAGAGACGGUUAGCACUCCCCCGGACAAGGACGGAAGAGAUCAAUUGAUCUUUCUAACCCAUUCAUUCUCCACAUUCAACAGUCUUUCAUAAUGGCAUUUCCAAGCCUCUUUCUUU